rnacentral:lncRNA from 1 species
AGGUGGGGAGUCCUGACUCGUAGUGUUUUCAGAUUUCCAUGGCGUAAAUACUCCCACCGUGGUGAUUUCAGGCUACCAAUACGACAUUACUGAUUGCAGAGUUGGGAAGAGAUGCAUCGUAGCACAUUACGUGGAAUUUCCACUAUCUACAUCAUAUAAAAGAUAUAAUGAUGAUCUCAAAUCUUAUGUUCGGGAACCUGCAAACCUCGGACCACCACAUCAAGGGAAAUGAAGUGAACCUUUCACUUGAUGACAAGACUUUGUAGAAAACCACUAAAUUAGCUACUCUAACAUCAUCAUGCAGGUGCAUGGGUCUCCUUGAACAAAUUAUUCCAGAGUAAGAUGGCCUAUUGCUCCAUCAUUCCAGUGUUAUACCAGGAAACCAGGUUUGAUUAGGAUUUCAUUGUGUGUAGUAUAGUAUUUGUUUCAGGGCAUAUGCUUUGAUCAAAAUCUAUGUAAUGAAGACGUAUACUCCAUGAUAUCUAGAAUUAAUCAUUGAACUAUGUCUAUGGCUAAACACAAAUGUUACACUCAUUUACUUAUUAAACACCUAUUU